GAGCGGCGCGGGAGUCAGAGGCGCGGGCGGACCGGCAGGCCGCGCCGGAGCUUUUUCCCUUCCAAGGGUCGGUGCCCUCCUCUCUCCUGGCUGUGCUUGGCGCGUCCCCGGUCACCGUUGUGGCUGAGACGGCCGCGACCAGGCACACACCGAUUGCUGCCACGGUGCCUGUCCUCCUGCGGAACGCCGUCGGCCCCGUCGACGAAGCAGCCGCGCGGUGCUGCCGGACGCCAACAGGAUGGCCUGGGCGGCCGCGUCAGACCUCGUGGUCAUGGAGGUGGAUUUGUUAUCUGAGGUGUCCGCUGAAUUCUGGAUGAACUGCCACCACAACAGAAGGUAAAUGCUGCUUGUGGCCAGUAGUCUGUGCUGUGCCUCCCGCCGAGGCCCUCACCAUCGCGCUUCCAGGCUAUUUUGAGCGCCCGUGUCCCUGCGGCUAGCUACGCCCGCACCAUCGCAUUAUUUUCCGCGCGUGUGUCGCUCUUCCUGCUCAACCCAGGGUGCCCCCACCCUCCAGCAUGAUAUUUGCAUUUGAUGGUUUCCUGCAAAUGACAGAAUGUUGCUGUGGAGAAAUGUUGCGACUGUUUCAGAUAUUUGCAUCUAAUGGUUUCCUUCAAAUGACAGAAUAUUGCCAUAGAGACAUAUCACGAAGGCAUUGCAGGUAGAAGGAUGAAAUCAACAGAUCAAUGUCCAAGGUUUGAUUUGGUCUCAAAAAAAACCAUGGUCAUUAUCAGGGUCAAGUUAUUUGUGCCUUCCAAAAGAUUAUCAUUGGAAUCAGAAAAUCGAUCAUCCAUGCUCCCAUGAUAAAGUUGUACUUACGCUCUCACUCUGUCUCUCGGAUGACCAUGCCUGCAUCUUGACAUGUAAGAUAAGUAAGUAGCGCCGAUGUUUCUAAAUGAUUAGCAUUGUUUGGGGACGUUAAUAAAUAGGAUCUAUUGAUUUGGCUGACCAUGAGAAAGACAACGCUUGCCACUUAUUUCCUUGAUUUUUCAGUUCUCAAAAGAUGAACGUUCCCUUAAGUAAUUAAUGCACUGAAGCUUUGACUGUAUUUGUAUUGAGAAGUUCUUUGAAGUAGUAGUUUAUGCAUAGCAGGGAGAGUAGAGACUCUUAGCUGCUGCAAAUAAGCAAUUAACGCUUACAAUCCAUAAUGUCCUGUCUAAAGUAAUAUGUUCUAUUCUACAAAUGAGAAGCUAAAUAUGAAGAGAAAAAUAAUUAAUUGAGGGAGAUUUGACAUAGUUGGUGAAGGACAGUGAAAAUGUAACUAUACUGAUAGAGGAUACGAAAUGGCUAGAUUGUAGAAUGACAAAGAAAACAGUUAGCUUGAUGAAAGAUAAUGAAGAAAUAACUGGGUUGAUAAGCAUCAUGCUACUCUUGAAGAAAAUAUGUAAUUACUCAGUGAGGUUGGGGAUGCUAAAACCUGGAUAUGAAUCAACAUUAUUAUGUAAUCACUAAUUACUCAAUGAGGUUCAGGUGCUAAAUAUCAGUCUACUGUCGAAUAUGACUUUCUUUGUAAAGAGAUUUUUUUAUGUCACCUACUUUGCUUCAAUAAAUAAUUUGAUCAACCAAAUAUCACAAAAUUUGCUGGGUGUUUGGUUGAUCAGCUAUGCCCCUUCUUCUUUUCCACAGACUGAUAGAGAGCUUCCCAUCAUUUGUGGCAGUGUUUCCCAUCUUUUGUGAUGUUACCAUACAAAGGGAAAUCUCAUGGGCUUCUAGGUUCCAGCAAAUGCUCUUAGACUUCAAUCCUUUUUUUAUUGAAGACCAUUCAGUGGUACUGUGUUGUUGCUUUAUUACCUAAGAUUUUUCUUUUGUUUCUUCACAACUAUGCAGCUCUUCUGAUUCUGAUCAAAGAUGAAGGUACGUUGAAGCCAUCUCAAAAAGGAUAGUACAGUGUAAAGGGCCUCCGAUUCAUGUUCGUAUAAUCACUACUCUUUAAGAAAUACUCCCAUAUGCUACGAAAUUGAAAAUGCUGUUAUUCAUUUCUUUUCAUUUAAUCAAAAUGCUAUUCUAAGAUUCGUCAAUACUUUGUCUCUCAAAACAGGUCGUGAUGUAGAUCAUGUUUCUUUUUGCACGGGUGUUGUUCAGGAUGUUUCACUCACAAAUAAUACUACAUAGAUUCCCCUACAGAGAAAGUACAAGAAAUUGAAUAAAGUUUACUGUCACUUUAAGAGUUAUAUUUCUGAACCUGUGCCUUGCCUGCCAUAGCUGUGACAACAUAUCCUUAUGACUUUGUUUAGGAUGCUUAAUUUUCUUCCCAACUGCCCACUCUGCUCAGAAGUGUAUAUGCCGUUCUAUACUGAAGCAUGCUGCCACAUUCAGCUUAUUCAACAUAAUUUGCUUACCACAUUCAGUUUUAGAGUACUGUAUGGAGUAUCCAUGUCAGGAUGGGCUCUAAUCGGGAGGGUCAUCUGUAUGCUUCAGUACGGACUUCGAAAACAGAAAUCUAUGUACGCCUGAAUAUACUCAGUUUGGAUCUUUGAAACCCGACUUUUAAUUUCUAGAUCGAAAUUACAUAAAUAUUUUUCUUAACACAUUCAAAAACUGUUGUUGUGCAAUAUUUUAGAAAUAUUGCAUGGAAAGCACACAAUAUUUUAGAAAUAAUUGCAACAUUUAGAACAUAUGGUCAACCUUAAAUGACUAACACAGUUUUUUUCUAGGGUUCACUCUCUAUUGAAAGCAUCAAGUUACCUGUCCCUUUUUGCAUUGGAGUUUUUGGUGCCUAGAGAGUUCAGAUGACUGAAACUGAGGUGCAAGUAUUGUCAGUACUGGAUAAAGGGUGUUCUGACUUUGUACUGAUGUGGUUAGGACCAAAAUGAUGCUCAAGCAGCUACAUUCAGAUGUCUGCAUAUGACGUUUACAAAUGUCCGGUGCUCAGGCUACCUACAAGAGUAAACACUAUUUAGAUGGUAGUGUAGUUAUAUUACAUAUAUUUUUCAUCAGUAGUUGGUUUCAUGUUGAGUCGGAGAAAAAUGGGCAUCUAGAUCCAGAAGUAAUCACUUUUACUACAAACAAAAGGCCAUGGGUUUGAUAUGUGCCAGUACUGAAAUGAUAUUCAGCUCAUUUAGACAUAUGUUUGCCUUACUAUGGUGAGGCUCUGGACAUGUUGUCAGGAUCAUGGCAACUAUAGCACACCUUAUCAGUGUGUAUGUUGCAUUUCUGGUUGAUGACCAUGAUCGAUUUUCACACCAAUUAAGAGUUGGGUGGGUUAAUUUUAUUUUUCGGAUAGCAUUGUUGUCAUAGAAAUAAAAGAGUAAAGACUACUACGGAA